ACUAGAGUACUGUAGAGGGGGGUAGAAUUUCAGGUGUAGCGGUGAAAUGCGUAGAGAUCUGAAGGAAUACCAGUGGCGAAGGCGGCCCCCUGGACAGAUACUGACACUCAGAUGCGAAAGCGUGGGGAGCAAACAGGAUUAGAUACCCUGGUAGUCCACGCCGUAAACGCCUUUGUCUACUUGGAGGUUGUGUCCCUGAGCCGUGUCUUUCGGAGAUAACGCGUUAAGUAGACCGCCCGGGGAGUACGGUCGCAAGAUUAAAACUCAAAUGAAUU
rnacentral:rRNA from 1 species